rnacentral:misc_RNA from 1 species
AACUUUUAGCAACGGAUCACUAGGCUCCUGCAUCGAUGAAGAACGCAGUGAAGUGCGAAAAGUAAUGCGAUUUGCAUGCUCUGUGAGUCAUCGAAUCUUUGAACGCAUAUGGCACCUCUUGGUUCUUACCAGGAGGUAUGCCUGUUUGAGAAUCAUUCAUCCCUUUGAUCAUUCAUUAUCCACUUUGGUCACUCUUGUGAUCCAUGUUGGUGGUGGUGAUCGAGACAUGGACCUUCACCAAUGAUCGUCUUGAAUGCAUGCACGGGUUGUUUGUGAGAAGGAUAGUUCAUUCUGUCUGUCGAUCGACCAAUCAUGUCCACUUGUUCAAUGAUCUCAAAUCAGGCAAGACUACCCGCUGAACUUAAGCAUAUCAAUAAGCGGAGGCU